UUGAACGCUGGCGGUAUGCUUAACACAUGCAAGUCGAACGGCAGCAUGGUCUAGCUUGCUAGACUGAUGGCGAGUGGCGGACGGGUGAGUAACGCGUAGGAAUAUGCCUUGAAGAGUGGGACAACUUGGGGAAACUCAAGCUAAUACCGCAUGUACUCGAGAGAGUAAAGCUGGGGACCUUUAGGCCUGGCGCUUUAAGAUUAGCCUGCGUCCGAUUAGCUAGUUGGUAGGGUAAGGGCCUACCAAGGCGACGAUCGGUAGCUGGUCUGAGAGGAUGAUCAGCCACACUGGAACUGAGAGACGGUCCAGACUCCUACGGGAGGCAGCAGUGGGGAAUAUUGGACAAUGGGGGGAACCCUGAUCCAGCAAUGCCGCGUGUGUGAAGAAGGCCUGAGGGUUGUAAAGCACUUUCAGUGGGGAGGAGGUUUGGAAGGUUAAGAGCUAUUCAAAUGGACGUUACCCACAGAAGAAGCACCGGCUAACUCCGUGCCAGCCGCCGCCGUAA
rnacentral:rRNA from 1 species